rnacentral:lncRNA from 1 species
UUCAAUCUAUGGAAACCUCAAUCCCACACACUAGUGGAUGGGUCCUGAGGGCUCUGUCCUUGGUGAGGACAGAUUGUCUUCUCCCUGGUUCUGUGUGCCCAAGGAGAGAGGGUGGAGGGCCCUGCUCUGCUUCCUCCCUGGCCCCACUGUGGCUUCCAGAACCUUGACCCUGGUGACAUCCCUCUAUCUGCCCAGGGCACUUUCCGAAAGGCCCCUGGGGCCGCCCGUGUGGAAUACUGCCAGCCAUGCCACCUGGGGGCAUUCUGUGGCAAAGCUGGCCUGGCCGAGCCCCAGGGCCUGUGCCACCCUGGGCAUCACUGCGGGCCUGGCUCCAACACCUCGUCCCUGAAGGGACUCCCCUUUGGUGACCUCUGUCCCCCGGGUCAUUUCUGCCCUGCUGGCACCAAGGACCCCAGGCAGUGGCUCUGCCCGGCUGGCACCUGGAAUGCAGAGAGAGGGGCACAGGACAUAAGCUGGUGCCUGCCUCGCCCACCUGGGCUCUUCUGUGCCACCACAGGCCAGGCUGCCCCUGGGGGCCCGUAUGCACCAGGUUUCCACUGCCCAGGAGGGGCGCAGACCCCGACACCCCUUGGUGGGCUGUGGGGACACUUCGAGGGCUCCCUGGCGGCCACACCUCGGCAAGACGGGGAGCACAGCUACGGCACAGGCUGAGAGACCCACCAGGGGAGGACCUGCUCCCCAGGUCAUUACUGCCCCCAGGGCACUAGCCACCUCCCUAGGCCCUGUCCUCCAGGCGUGUCCAGUCCCUGGGAGGACCGAAGCCAGGCCCACAGCUGCCCGCCAUGUC